rnacentral:rRNA from 1 species
UUGACAUCCCCUGACCGCGUAUGAAAGUACGUUUUCACCCUCGGGUGACAGGGAGACAGGUGGUGCAUGGUUGUCGUCAGCUCGUGUCGUGAGAUGUUGGUUAAGUCCCGCAACGAGCGCAACCCCUACGUUUAGUUGCUAACGCGUGAAGGCGAGCACUCUAGACGAACUGCCGUUGACAAAACGGAGGAAGGUGGGGAUGACGUCAAAUCAUCAUGCCCCUUAUGUUCUGGGCUACACACGUGCUACAAUGGCCGGUACAGACGGACGCAAAGCCGCGAGGUGGAGCAAAUCCUAAAAAGCCGGUCUCAGUUCGGAUUGCAGGCUGCAAUUCGCCUGCAUGAAGUCGGAAUCGCUAGUAAUCGCAGGUCAGCAUACUGCGGUGAAUACGUUCCCGGGCCUU